ACCUUAUCAAGAGCGGCGGAGGGACUGGCCCGAUGAAGCCCGGCAACCACUGUGCACACGUGCACAGAAAGGUGCCAAUUCCUACAAAAUCCAUUUGGAUUUUGAGAGAUGAGGA
rnacentral:ncRNA from 2 species